AUUGAACGCUGGCGGCAUGCCUUACACAUGCAAGUCGAACGGCAGCACGGGUGCUUGCACCUGGUGGCGAGUGGCGAACGGGUGAGUAAUACAUCGGAACAUGUCCUGUAGUGGGGGAUAGCCCGGCGAAAGCCGGAUUAAUACCGCAUACGAUCUACGGAUGAAAGCGGGGGACCUUCGGGCCUCGCGCUAUAGGGUUGGCCGAUGGCUGAUUAGCUAGUUGGUGGGGUAAAGGCCUACCAAGGCGACGAUCAGUAGCUGGUCUGAGAGGACGACCAGCCACACUGGGACUGAGACACGGCCCAGACUCCUACGGGAGGCAGCAGUGGGGAAUUUUGGACAAAGGGCGAAAGCCUGAUCCAGCAAUGCCGCGUGUGUGAAGAAGGCCUUCGGAUUGUAAAGCACUUUUGUCCGGAAAGAAAUCCUUGGCCCUAAUACGGUCGGGGGAUGACGGUACCGGAAGAAUAAGCACCGGCUAACUACGUG
rnacentral:rRNA from 1 species